rnacentral:rRNA from 1 species
AUACGGAGGGUGCAAGCGUUACUCGGAAUCACUGGGCGUAAAGGACGCGUAGGCGGGUUGGUAAGUCAGGUGUGAAAUCCUACAGCUUAACUGUAGAACUGCACUUGAAACUACCAACCUAGAGUAUGGGAGGGGGAGAUGGAAUUAGUGGUGUAGGGGUAAAAUCCGUAGAUAUCACUAGGAAUACCGAAAGCGAAGGCGAUCUCCUGGAACAUAACUGACGCUAAGGCGUGAAAGCGUGGGGAGUAAACAGGAUUAGAAACCCCGGUAGUCC